UGCGCAGGUGGGCUUGUAAGUCAGUGGUGAAAUCCUACAGCUUAACUGUAGAACUGCCAUUGAUACUGUAGAUCUUGAGUACGGUUGAGGUGGGCGGAAUGUGUCAUGUAGCGGUGAAAUGCUUAGAUAUGACACAGAACACCAAUUGCGAAGGCAGCUCGCUAAACCGUAACUGACGCUGAGGCACGAAAGCGUGGGGAGCGAACAGGAUUAGAUACCCUGGUAGUCC
rnacentral:rRNA from 1 species